rnacentral:rRNA from 1 species
GUGUCAGCAGCCGCGGUAAUACGGAGGUUCCAAGCGUUGUUCGGAAUUACUGGGCGUAAAGGGAGCGCAGGCGGAUAGGUCAGUCUAAAGUGGAAAUCCGGGGCUCAACCUCGGGCUUGCUUCGGAUACUGCCUGUCUUGAGUUCGUGAUAGGAAGAUGGAAUUCAGGGUGUAGCGGUGAAAUGCACAGAUAUCCUGAGGAACACCGGUGGCGAAAGCGGUCUUCUGGCACGAAACUGACGCUGAGGCUCGAAAGCGCGGGUAGCAAACGGGAUUAGAUACCCCGGUAGUCCGCGCCGUAAACGUUGUGUACUAGGUGUAGGAGGUAUCGACCCCUUCUGUGCCGCAGCUAACGCAUUAAGUACACCGCCUGGGGAGUACGCGCGCAAGCGUGAAACUCAAAUAAAUUGACGG